rnacentral:rRNA from 1 species
GACAGAGGUGCCGAGCGUUAGGCGGAAUCACUGGGCUUAAAGCGUGUGUAGGCGGACUUCUAAGUCCCUUGUGAAAUCCCACGGCUCAACCGUGGAACUGCUCGGUAUACUGGUUGUCUUGAGCCACUUAGGGGCAGUCGGAACAGACGGUGGAGCGGUGAAAUGCGUAGAUAUCAGGAGGAAUACCGGUGGCGAAAGCGACUCUCUGGACGGUAACUGACGCUGAGGCACGAAAGCGUGGGGAGCAAACAGG